UUGUUUACCCAACUGGUGACAAAUUUCAUCGAAAGUACACUUCUAGAACAGUUUAAUGCAAGCGCAGUGUCUUUCAAAAAUUAAACAUGAUGUCCUACUUUUCUACAAUUUUCUGAUAUUCAACAAAAAAACUCGAUAUUUUGAAGACUAAUCUCGCAGUGUUAGGAUGGCGUUUUCACCGUCUUUUCGCAAAAAAAAAGGAACGACCAGUAGAGGCAAAGAAUACGAAAUCGUUUUUUCAAGUUACGUUAUUUUAAAAUUACUCCAAGAUGACAAAAUUGAGAAUUUUUGGUUAUCGAUGGACAAUGACAGUUUUGGUUCAUUUGACGAUGCCGUAAUUGAAAUUAAAUAUUUCGGUGUGGAUCAACUUAAAACCUAUGCAAUUCAGUUAAAACACAAAGAAAGUCGCGGGGUUUCGGUAGAGAACUUGAAAGAAGAAAAAGGGGAUUUCAGUCUCAAUAAAUAUUUCGAGGAUUUAGAAAAAAAUUGCGGAAAACAUUUCAAGAUGAUUCUAUUCACCAACAGUAAAUUUGCAAAUAAGUUACCUAUGUUCGAGUUGAAACUUGGAAGUGAAACCUGUGUUGUUGAAGGAAAGGAAUGUGAAACACAUAUAGAUUUUCUUCCAACUGCAUCUAACGGCCAGUGUCACAAAUUUCAAAUUUCAAACACAACGUUUAAUGAAUAUUUCGAACAAUUUCUAUUCUAUUCUGGUCAGAUGAAAACACACAGUUUGAAAACGGCAUCCUCAAAAAUAUUUCGAGAAAUGUUCUCUUGCGAAGAGAAUAUUUUUACUGACUUUUUAAUGUUUGUAACAGAAUGGAGUAUGACUAAAGGAAUGAAACAAAAAUUGGACAAGUCAUGGAUUAAACAUGCUAUUGCGAUUCGAGUUUUAACCCCUUUCAUUAAACCGUUGUCAUUUGAUAAAGAACCAGAAAACUCAAAAGGGACCGAAAUCCUACGAAACGCUAUUGGAAAAUUUCCAGUCACCGUAUUUGAAACGGAAGAGGACGACAAAAUAAAAACUAUUUGGCAACCACUUGUUCGAGACGUUGAUUUUGAAAAAAUGAAUAAAAUGCGAAUAAAAUACAACGUAAUGUCAAAUUACGUAGGAAAAUUAGAAGACUUGAAGAAAGAAAAUGUUGCAAAUAGUAAAUUAUUGUGGCUUGUAAAAAUGUGCCCUUUGGUUGUUGAAGGCCACGUAAAAAUGUCGGCACUUGAUUUAGUCGAAGAUGGCAACAUUGUUAUCUUAAAUCCAAAAUUUAACGUAAGCAGUUUGAAGUGUUUAAAAGACAAGAAAAAUGUUUGUUUUCAAAAUUUGGGGGAUUUGGAAAACUACAAAGAAGUUUACGACAAUAUGUUGGACACCUACCAGUAUUCCAUCGAAGGACAAGAAAAAGCGAACUUAAGAAGUCUAGUUAGUAAUGGAUGCGUAAGGGCCGAACAUUUUACAACCGAUGCACUUCUAGAAAUGAGCACAAGUGAUGUGAAACUAAUUGGAAGCAAAGAAAAAACCUCGUUGCCCAAGUAUCAUAUUCCAAGAAGAUUAUCUAAAAUCGUCAUCGAUUCCAAAUUUCUAAACAAAUUUACUAACAGAAGCAUAGUUUUUAUAAGUUGUGUUAAAGAUAUGCACCAUUUUAAACUUUGUUACAAGAAUGUUGUUUUUUUAACAAUUCAAGAUAUCUCCAUUAAAGAUGAUUUAAAAAGUACAUACAAAGAUAAAAAAAUUAUAGUUACAAGUGAAGCUGAAUUUCCUCGUCAACAACUUGAAGUAAUGUGGUCUCAAACUUGUAAAGAAUUUCAAAAUUGUCAUCAUUUCAAUUAUCUUGACAUGAGGUGCCUAGAAUGGAUUCGAAGCAAAAAUGGUGUUGAAGAAUUAAGGGAAUAUCAGCUCAAAAGUGAGUGUUUUGUAAAAGAAGCCACCUUCUUCAGUUAUUCAGAUCAAAAUCUUCUACAUGUCUUUUGCGAAAAUCCAGGAAUGGGAAAAAGCACUUUAAUGAGAAGCUUGAAAUCUCAAACUUCUUCUUCGUGUUGGACAAUUUUGGUUUUAGCAAGUAACCACGUAGAGCAUUUUCGAAAGAAUAAAGAAGCGGAUGUUGAUAAUUUCUUGAACUACAUUGUGAAGGAAAAUUGUAAGAAGUAUCAAAACUUUGACAAAACAGUUUUGAAAAGCCUGGUGAAUAACAACGUGAUUGAAAUACUGUGGGACGGCCUUGAUGAAGUUUCUCCAAUAGUUUUGAAAACAAUUAACAAUCUGAUUAACAAGUUUCUUCAAAAAGGUGUCAAGCAAUGGAUUACUUCUAGAAUUUGUUUAAAACACACUCUAGAAAAUGAGUUCAACGUAUUUUCAAGAUCCAUCAAACAAUUCACUAAACAAGAUCAACAGAGUUACAUGAAAGAUCGUCUAAAAUGUAGUGAUGAAGAUUUGUUGUCUACUUUUUCAAAAAUUCAGUCCAGUAUUCAACUUUUCCCAAACAACGACAUUUUAGGGAUUCCUCUUCAAUUGUUCAUGUUGACAGAAUUAUUUCUUGAAGAUGAGGCAAAAUACUCUGCUUUACUAGAUAAAAUAUUCUCUAUUGCGGAUUUAUACGAACAUUUUAUUGAAAAAAUAAUUCGUGAUAACUUUGAAGGGAAACAAAAAAUUCCACUUAAUGUUUCAAAAAAUAAUGAAAGAUUUGAGAACGAAAUGUUACAAGCUAUUGACGAUUAUAAAGUGAUAGCAUUACAACUAUAUUUUGGAGACCAGUUUGACAAAAAUAAAAAUAAUGUGCAUGAUUUAUUAACAAAAAUUAAAGAAGAAACGGAUCCUUUUGGUUUCAUAAUAAACGUAACACAAGAUUUAACACCUCAGUUUUUACACAACUCUUACGGUGAAUAUUUUGCGGCUUUAUACUUAAGUAAAAAUUACAAUCAAAUUCAUCUGAUUAAAACAUUUUUUGCUGAGGAAAAAUACGACAACAUCCGAUUUUUCUUGGAUUUAAUUUUAGCAAAAGAUUGCAAAGCUCAUAUAGCCGUGUUGUAUAAAAACAGUCAACUUUUAGACGAUUGUACUGAAAACGACAUCCAUUUUAAAGACAAGAUAGGACGCAGUAGUCUAGAACUGUCUUGUCAGUGGAGUAACAAAUAUCCCUUGUUAAAAACUGAGAAGAAAAACAAUUCUUAUACAAUUUACGAAAAUUCAUUAGUAAACUCUACAUACAGAAAAAUGGUGAAAAAUUUAGAUAAGGUUUCAAAACAUUUUCAAGAUGGUGAGGUGGAUGUACAACUGAAAAAAAUUAUCCUUUUAUUUCCUUUUACAAUAGCAUUCUUUGAUAACGUUCUUGAAUUAGAUGAAAAGAUUUCUCCGUCAAUAUUUUAUUAUUCAAUCAAAUUUAAUCAUACUAUUGUAUUAUCAUAUUUUAAAGACAUUCCUUUUAUUCAUAUUAAAAGCUUCAACUCAAGGACAAUGUUAAAUCUAACAAUUCAAUUUCGAGCAAUUCAUUUUGUUAAUACGCUACUUUCAAAUCAUAAAUAUAAAGAUUUCAUAUUUAAAGACAUCAAUGUUUCAUAUGAAAUGUGCCAGUUGGAAUCAAAAGAAUUUUUAAAAGCUUUUCAAGAUUAUGGCUGGGACAUUAAUAUGUUACACACCAACGGCCAGGCGGUAAUACACCUUGUUUGUAAACAUGGUACCCUUUCUACAUUAAAUUUUAUUCUUGACAACGGGGCUCAACUUAGUCUACCUAGUUGUUCCAAACAAAUGCCGAUACAUUACGCAUGUGAAAAUGGAAAUGUAGAUGUUGUAAAAUUACUUUUAGAUAAAGGUGUGAAUGCGGAUAUCCAAGAUAAUGAUGGCAAAGUGCCGAUACAUUACGCAUGUAAAAGUAGAAAUGUAGAUGUUGUAAAAUUACUUUUAGAUAAAGGUGUCAAUGCGGAUAUCCAAGAUAAUGAUGGCAAAGUGCCGAUACAUUACGCAUGUGAAAGUGAAAAUGUCGAUGUUGUAAAAUUACUUUUAGAUAAAGGUGUGAAUGCGGAUAUCCAAGAUAAUGAUGGCAAAGUGCCGAUACAUUACGCAUGUGAAUAUUUUUUGAAUAGAGAUAUUGUAAAAUUACUUUUAGAUAAAGGUGUCAAUGCGGAUAUCCAAGAUAAUGAUGGCAAAUUGCCGAUACAUUACGCAUGUGAAAGUGGAAAUGUAAAAGUUGUAAAAUUACUUUUAGAUAAAGGUGUCAAUGCGGAUAUCCAAGAUAAUGAUGGCAAAUUGCCGAUACAUUACGCAUGUGAAAGUGGAAAUGUAAAAGUUGUAAAAUUACUUUUAGAUAAAGGUGUCAAUGCGGAUAUCCAAGAUAAUGAUGGCAAAGUGCCGAUACAUUACGCAUGUGAAUAUUUUUUGGAUAGAGAUAUUGUAAAAUUACUUUUAGAUAAAGAUGUCAAUGCGGAUAUCCAAGAUAAUGAUGGCAAAGUGCCGAUCCAUUACGCAUGUGAAAGUGAAAAUGUCGAUGUUGUAAAAUUACUUUUAGAUAAAGGUGUCAAUGCGGAUAUCCAAGAUAAUAAUGGCAAAGUGCCGAUACAUUUCGCAUGUAAAAGUAGAAAUGUAGAUGUUGUAAAAUUACUUUUAGAUAAAGGUGUCAAUGCGGAUAUCCAAGAUAAUGAUGGCAAAGUGCCGAUCCAUUACGCAUGUGAAAGUGAAAAUGUCGAUGUUGUAAAAUUACUUUUAGAUAAAGAUGUCAAUGCGGAUAUCCAAGAUAAUGAUGGCAAAGUGCCGAUACAUUACGCAUGUGAAUGGUUUUUGAAUAGAGAUAUUGUAAAAUUACUUUUAGAUAAAGGUGUCAAUGCGGAUAUCCAAGAUAAUGAUGGCAAAGUGCCGAUACAUUACGCAUGUGAAUGGUUUUUGAAUAGAGAUAUUGUAAAAUUACUUUUAGAUAAAGAUGUCAAUGCGGAUAUCCAAGAUAAUGAUGGCAAAGUGCCGAUACAUUACGCAUGUGAAUGGUUUUUGAAUAGAGAUAUUGUAAAAUUACUUUUAGAUAAAGGUGUCAAUGCGGAUAUCCAAGAUAAUGAUGGCAAAGUGCCGAUACAUUUCGCAUGUAAAAGUAGAAAUGUAGAUGUUGUAAAAUUACUUUUAGAUAAAGGUGUCAAUGCGGAUAUCCAAGAUAAUGAUGGCAAAGUGCCGAUCCAUUACGCAUGUGAAAGUGAAAAUGUCGAUGUUGUAAAAUUACUUUUAGAUAAAGGUGUGAAUGUAGUCAUUGUAGAUAAUAAUGGCAAAUUGCCGAUACAUUACGCAUGUGAAAGAGGAAAUGUAGAUGUUGUAAAAUUACUUUUAGAUAAAGGUGUCAAUGCGGAUAUCCAAGAUAAUGAUGGCAAAUUGCCGAUACAUUACGCAUGUGAAAGUGGAAAUGUAAAAGUUGUAAAAUUACUUUUAGAUAAAGGUGUCAAUGCGGAUAUCCAAGAUAAUGAUGGCAAAUUGCCGAUACAUUACGCAUGUGAAAGUGGAAAUGUAAAAGUUGUAAAAUUACUUUUAGAUAAAGGUGUCAAUGCGGAUAUCCAAGAUAAUGAUGGCAAAGUGCCGAUACAUUACGCAUGUGAAUAUUUUUUGGAUAGAGAUAUUGUAAAAUUACUUUUAGAUAAAGAUGUCAAUGCGGAUAUCCAAGAUAAUGAUGGCAAAGUGCCGAUCCAUUACGCAUGUGAAAGUGAAAAUGUCGAUGUUGUAAAAUUACUUUUAGAUAAAGGUGUCAAUGCGGAUAUCCAAGAUAAUAAUGGCAAAGUGCCGAUACAUUACGCAUGUGAAUGGUUUUUGAAUAGAGAUAUUGUAAAAUUACUUUUAGAUAAAGGUGUCAAUGCGGAUAUCCAAGAUAAUGAUGGCAAAGUGCCGAUACAUUUCGCAUGUAAAAGUAGAAAUGUAGAUGUUGUAAAAUUACUUUUAGAUAAAGGUGUCAAUGCGGAUAUCCAAGAUAAUGAUGGCAAAGUGCCGAUCCAUUACGCAUGUGAAAGUGAAAAUGUCGAUGUUGUAAAAUUACUUUUAGAUAAAGGUGUGAAUGUAGUCAUUGUAGAUAAUAAUGGCAAAUUGCCGAUACAUUACGCAUGUGAAAGAGGAAAUGUAGAUGUUGUAAAAUUACUUUUAGAUAAAGGUGUGAAUGUAGUCAUUGCAGAUAAUAAUGGCAAAUUGCCGAUACAUUACGCAUGUGAAAGAGGAAAUGUAGAUGUUGUAAAAUUACUUUUAGAUAAAGGUGUGAAUGUAGUCAUUGCAGAUAAUAAUGGCAAAUUGCCGAUACAUUACGCAUGUGCACGUGGAAAUGUAGGUGUUGUAAAAUUACUUUUAGAUAAAGGUGUGAAUGUAGUCAUUGCAGAUAAUAAUGGCAAAUUGGCGAUACAUUACGCAUGUGCACGUGGAAAUGUAGAUGUUGUAAAAUUACUUUUAGAUAAAGGUGUGAAUGUAGUCAUUGCAGAUAAUAAUGGCAAAUUGCCGAUACAUUACGCAUGUGAAUGGUUUUUGAAUGGAAAUAUUGUAAAAUUACUUUUAGAUAAAGGUGUCAAUGCGGAUAUCCAAGAUAAUGAUGGCAAAGUGCCGAUACAUUACGCAUGUGCACGUGGAAAUGUAGAUGUUGUAAAAUUACUUUUAGAUAAAGGUGUGAAUGUAGUCAUUGCAGAUAAUAAUGGCAAAUUGCCGAUACAUUACGCAUGUGAAAGAGGAAAUGUAGAUGUUGUAAAAUUACUUUUAGAUAAAGGUGUGAAUGUAGUCAUUGCAGAUAAUAAUGGCAAAUUGCCGAUAGAUUACGCAUGUGAAAGUGGAAAUGUAGGUGUUGUAAAAUUACUUUUAGAUAAAGGUGUGAAUGUAGUCAUUGCAGAUAAUAAUGGCAAAUUGCCGAUACAUUACGCAUGUGAAAGUGGAAAUGUAGGUGUUGUAAAGUUACUUUUAGAUAAAGGUGUGAAUGUAGUCAUUGCAGAUAAUAAUGGCAAAUUGCCGAUACAUUACGCAUGUGAAAGAGGAAAUGUAGAUGUUGUAAAAUUACUUUUAGAUAAAGGUGUGAAUGUAGUCAUUGCAGAUAAUAAUGGCAAAUUGCCGAUACAUUACGCAUGUGAAAGAGGAAAUGUAGAUGUUGUAAAAUUACUUUUAGAUAAAGGUGUGAAUGUAGUCAUUGCAGAUAAUAAUGGCAAAUUGCCGAUACAUUACGCAUGUGAAUGGUUUUUGAAUGGAAAUAUUGUAAAAUUACUUUUAGAUAAAGGUGUCAAUGCGGAUAUCCCAGAUAAUAAUGGCAAAUUGCCGAUACAUUACGCAUGUGAAAGUGGAAAUGUAGAUGUUGUAAAAUUACUUUUAGAUAAAGGUGUGAAUGUAGUCAUUGCAGAUAAUAAUGGCAAAUUCCCGAUACAUUACGCAUGUGAAAGCGGAAAUGUAGAUGUUGGAAAAUUACUUUUAGAUAAAGGUGUGAAUGUAGUCAUUGCAGAUAAUAAUGGCAAAUUGGCGAUACAUUACGCAUGUGAAAGUGGAAGUGUAGAUGUUGUAAAAUUACUUUUAGAUAAAGGUGUGAAUGUAGUCAUUGCAGAUAAUAAUGGCAAAUUGCCGAUACAUUACGCAUGUGAAAGUGGAAAUGUAGGUGUUGUAAAAUUACUUUUAGAUAAAGGUGUGAAUGUAGUCAUUGCAGAUAAUAAUGGCAAAUUGCCGAUACAUUACGCAUGUGAAAGUGGAAAUGUAGAUGUUGUAAAAUUACUUUUAGAUAAAGGUGUGAAUGUAGUCAUUGCAGAUAAUAAUGGCAAAUUGCCGAUACAUUACGCAUGUGCACGUGGAAAUGUAGGUGUUGUAAAAUUACUUUUAGAUAAAGGUGUGAAUGUAGUCAUUGCAGAUAAUAAUGGCAAAUUGCCGAUACAUUACGCAUGUGCACGUGGAAAUGUAGGUGUUGUAAAAUUACUUUUAGAUAAAGAUGUGAAUGUAGUCAUUGCAGAUAAUAAUGACAAACUGCCUGAAGAUUAUGCAUAUGAAAGUGGAAAUAAAAGUGUUGUAAAAUUACUUUUCUCUUAUAGGUAUUAAUAAUGUUCCUUAUUUCAUAGAUACGGGUAGAGGUAGUACACUUUUAUCUUACAAGUGGUUACUAUGGUAUUAUUUGUUUUAGUUAUUUUUUAUCUUACUAAUAGAAGAAAUUGGACAUUUGGUGUUUUUUUAUACUAUCGGUGAAAAAAUUUAACAAAAAUUGUUACAUAUAAGAGAAAGCGUUGUAUGUAUUAUACACGUAAAGAAAAGUUGGCAUUAUCUGCAAAUGAUGUGUAAUAGGAGACUACUAUUAUCCUUCGACACUUUCAAAAUUUCCGGUUAUUCUCCUGGGUAAGAUAGUUUUGACAACUGGUUGGCAUUUCUCAAUACGAAACGUCAGAUUAUUCUUAACAGAUUUAAAGCAACUUUAAACCUUGUUGAAUCUAAUUUAAAGAAUAAAAUGUUGUAUACAAUACGUUUUCUUGUAAAUCGGUUCAUUUAUUUCACCUCGUGGAUGAUAAACCACUCGUUUACACGCGAGGUUAGAUAAUCCACUCAUGAUAUAAAACGUCCGAUUUAUACUCAAACUUGUUAAAUAAGUAACUAUUACAUAACGGAUAAAAGAGUGAAUGCAGACACUACGUUGUAAUAUCAUAUUAGGCGAUUAGCAAAGUAUUGGCUGUUACUUGAAGCAGAAGCAUUUCCACUAAAGUAUUUUGUUAAAAACUCUUACAUAAGAUAUUGUUAAAGCUUUUCUAAUGUCAAACGAAAAACAAUCAAUUCUAGUUUUUUGUAAAGAUAAUAGUUAAAAUUUUGACCAUGAGGGAAAGUAAAAAUAGUGAAGUAAAUGUGGGGAGUUAUGACAAUUUCAUAAUCUUGGUGCUUUUAUUCAAAAGUUCGUUUACAGAUUCAGUUUUACGCACAGGUUUAGAAAAAAAAAACAAAAAAUCUUUAUUUACUCAAUUUUUUGCAAAAUGUUUUGUAACAAUAUUUGGAACAGUGGUAUGAUGUAGUCUCACAUCCACACAAACACUUACUUGAAUCCACAUUUAUACAGUGUGAGGACACAUAAUGAGUUGCAUUAACAGACCAUGAGCUUGAGAAUCAAAAUGACAGAAUAUUUUUUUUAAAUAAAUGUUGAUGUAUACGUAGAGGCCAGGUUUAAAAUUUUUUGUUUAAAACAGCGUUUUGAGACACACUGAUUUAUUAAAAAGCUACUGAAAUCAAAACCCAAAAUUACUUUUUAAUUUAAAUGUGCAGAAAACUGUGACACAUUUUUUUAUUUAUUUCUAUGAAAAUGAGUACCAUGGCGAGCAUAAAAAAUCAUCAAAAUUGAACGCACCCUGUAAAUCCACUAAAACGCCAGUUUAAACGUCAUUUUCUUCGUAACGAUGUUUCUUGGUAACCGAUAACUAUUCACAAGCUGCUUCCAAAAUGUCUUGUGAAAAAAAAUUAUCACCUAUUGUAACAACGAAAUAGACAAAUGUAACCUUUUUGCUGAAAACAUAAAUUUAUUCCAAACUUUUGGUGUGCCAAACUUUUUGAAAUGUUUCUGUUAACAUACUAGCUAAAAUAGCUAAAAAAACAUUUUUUACGUGUCAGCACGGUGUUGUACAGAUUUAUUAUUUAAUUAUGUAUAAUUAUUAACAAAUUUUUGUAAGUACAGGCUGAAUUCGAAUCUGAGUCUGCAAUAGGCGGUGAAUAAACAAAAUGUGGUUAACUUUUUUAAACUGUUACAUUGACGCAAUGUUGCGAAAUGCUCUAAUAAAAAUCUGAUUGGUGCAUUUCAAAUUCCGCCUUUCUUACACUUUAAAAUAUGAAUAAAGUAUUAGCUGAUAGAGUAGAAAUGUUUUUAUCUACCUAAUGUUUGUCACAAUAAAAACCGAUCAACAACAGAAAAUGAAGCACAGAAACACAGGAUUUGCUACCAAGAAGCAGAACAAUAGUGAAGGGGUGAUAUCUGAAAAAAAUUUCAAGAAUCGAAAUGGGAAAAGGCAUUUAGAAAUAAAAAGCAAGAAUAAUCAUAUUGGAUCAAAUGACGUUUUUUUUUAAAUUGGAAGGGUGUUGGAGCAAAGAAAACUUAAAGAUCAUGACAUCAAACAAAAAGAAAUGGAAAACAAACCCCGGAAGGAAAAGAGACAGGUCGCAGGUGCCAGGUCAUUGGUAAAGUAGCCAAAAGAGAGAAGCACAAGAAAAUUUGGGCAAAGGAGUUCCGUGCUACUUUGUGAUACCUAAAAACGUAGUUCGAAAAUUUUCCAUAGGUUUGGACAAAAUUCAGGAGAAACUUCUAAAAGAAAGGUUCAUCAAAUCUAACGAUGUGUGAAGAAAGAAGGGAAGGUAAACUAUUUUGAAAAAUCAAGAACAAAAAGGAAAAGUCAAUAAAGAUAAAAUAAAAAACAAUAAUUAAAUAAAAAAAAUUGCAAAAGGGAAAGACAAUACGAAGAAACUGUUGCUGACACUGAAUCAAUAAAAAUGUCGAUGAAGAGGCCGUGUUCCAAGAAAACAUCACCCUUAGAUCAUUCCAUUUUGUUAAACCUUCACGAAGAGAACACUCGAACCACUUAUGCUGAUCUGUAUGAGCAUCUCCUUGAUCCAUUUGGAGAAGAAAGAAGAUUCCCUCCUAGUAGCAAGAUUCAAAAGUUGAUGUGGGUUGUUAGGAAGAAUUUAGAAUUGUAAAGUUAGGGCAGAUUCAAGAUACUGUGAUAUGUUAGUUUAUUGAGGCAUCAAACUCUUUUGACCGGACAUAUGUCACAAAGGGGUCAACUUUCUGGUGUUACGUAAUUAACUAAGUUUUGAAGGAUAGGUUUUGCUAAUGUUAUGUAAAUUUCAUAAAAGAAGGUCUAACGAUCAAAUGUCAAAAAAACUAAAGAAAUACGAGGAA